UACGAAGGGGGCGAGCGUUGUUCGGAAUCACUGGGCGUAAAGGGCGCGUAGGCGGCCCUCUUAGUCGCGUGUGAAAGCCCCGGGCUCAACCUGGGAACGGCGCGCGAAACGGGAGGGCUGGAGUUCGGGAGAGGAGAGUGGAAUUCCCAGUGUAGAGGUGAAAUUCGUAGAUAUUGGGAAGAACACCGGUGGCGAAGGCGGCUCUGGACCGAGACUGACGCUGAGGCGCGAAAGCGUGGGGAGCGAACAGG
rnacentral:rRNA from 1 species